CAACAUGUGAAAGCAUGCGACUCUUCGGAGGCGUUACACAGGUGCUGCAUGGCCGUCGUCAGCUCGUGUCGUGAGAUGUUUGGUUAAGUCCAGCAACGAGCGCAACCCCUGUUGCCGGUUACCAGCACGUGAAGGUGGGGACUCUGGCGAGACUGCCCAGAUCAACUGGGAGGAAGGUGGGGACGACGUCAGGUCAGUAUGGCCCUUAUGCCCAGGGCUGCACACGUACUACAAUGCCCAGUACAGAGGGGGCCGAAGCCGCGAGGCGGAGGAAAUCCUAAAAACUGGGCCCAGUUCGGACUGUAGGCUGCAACCCGCCUACACGAAGCCGGAAUCGCUAGUAAUGGCGCAUCAGCUACGGCGCCGUGAAUACGUUCCCGGGUCUUGUACACACCGCCCGUCACAUCAUGGAAGCCGGUCGCACCCGAAGUAUCUGAAGCCAACCGCAAGGAGGCAGGGUCCUAAGGUGAGACUGGUAACUGGGAUGAAGUCGUAACAAGGUAGCCGUAGGGGAACCUGCGGCUGGAUCACCUC
rnacentral:rRNA from 1 species